AUGGAUGUACCAAGUGUUAUCACGUCAAGUUUCUCUAUUUGCAUCAGUCAUGUGCCUCUGCAGACAAUACAUCAUACAGUAUCAAAGAAUAAAGCUGUCACACCAGAAAUCAGGAAGAAAUUGUAUCAAGACACCUCAAGUACAAAACAGAACAAGCUCUCUGAAGGUGAGGGGAACAUUUCGUACAUUUCCUCAAGACCUGGCUGCACCUACCAUUAGGCAGGAUGAGGUGACCAUUUCAUUCAGCAGAUGAUGAGAGAUCAUUUCAGCAGAAAAGAAGUUGGCAAAACUAUAGGAUGAAGAAACAAGUCAGAGUCAACUUCCUCCUCCGUGUGUGGCCAGUUGACAGAAUGAAGUGGCAAUGGAAAGUAUCUCACAUGAUCUAUCACCACUUAAACUCACGAAGGAAGUGAUGACGAACUCCUGAUCCCUUGGUUUGCUUUGCCUGAUCCACCUCAAAAGGCUGACCUUAUGAUAAACAAGAGAGCAUCCUGCCUUGAAUUCAUUAGAUGAAAGGCACACUAUAAACAAAGAAACAAACAAGCAAUGGCUGAAACCCUUUUACCUAUUUAGUGUAGCACCAAUGUUCUAACAUUUGGACAGGAAUGGGAACUCAAGUUGUGAGACUCGUUGUCAAGUCAAACUUAAAUUACACUUA